GACGAACGCUGGCGGCGUGCCUAAUACAUGCAAGUCGAACGCAGUGGGGACGGGUGAGUAACAAGUGGGUAACCUACCAUCAGAGGGGAUAACACUUGGAAACAGGUGCUAAACCGAUACUGAUGGAUGGACCCGAGGUGCAUGAGCUAGUUGGUGAGGUAACGGCUCACCAAGGCCACGAUGCAUAGCCGACGUGAGAGUGGGAUCGGCCACACUGGGACUGAGACACGGCCCAGACUCCUACGGUAGGCAGCAGUAGGGAAUCUUCGGCAAUGGACGAAAGUCUGACCGGGACACGCCGCGUGAGUGAAGAAGGUUUGCGGAUCGUAAAACUCUGUUGUUAGAGAAGCGGUAUCUAACCAGAAAGCCACGGCUAACUACGUGCCAGCAGCCGCGGUAAUAC
rnacentral:rRNA from 1 species